rnacentral:rRNA from 1 species
UCUACGGGUGGCAGCAGUGGGGAAUAUUGCACAAUGGGGGAAACCCUGAUGCAGCGACGCCGCGUGAGUGAAGAAGUAUCUCGGUAUGUAAAGCUCUAUCAGCAGGGAAGAAAAUGACGGUACCUGACUAAGAAGCCCCGGCUAACUACGUGCCAGCAGCCGCGGUAAUACGUAGGGGGCAAGCGUUAUCCGGAUUUACUGGGUGUAAAGGGAGCGUAGACGGCGCUGCAAGUCCGGAGUGAAAGCCCAUGGCUUAACCAUGGUACUGCUCUGGAAACUGUGGAGCUUGAGUGGGCGAGAAGUAUGCGGAAUGCGUGGUGUAGCGGUGAAAUGCAUAGAUAUCACGCAGAACUCCGAUUGCGAAGGCAGCAUACCGGCGCCCAACUGACGCUGAAGCACGAAAGCGUGGGUAUCGAACAGGAUUAGAUACCCUUGUAGUC